UACGAAGGGGGCUAGCGUUGCCCGGAAUCACUGGGCGUAAAGCGCACGUAGGCGGAUUCCUAAGUCGGGGGUGAAAUCCUGGAGCUUAACUCCAGAACUGCCUUCGAUACUGGGAAUCUUGAGUCCGGAAGAGGUGAGUGGAACUGCGAGUGUAGAGGUGAAAUUCGUAGAUAUUCGCAAGAACACCAGUGGCGAAGGCGGCUCACUGGCCCGGUACUGACGCUGAGGUGCGAAAGCGUGGGGAGCAAACAGG
rnacentral:rRNA from 1 species